GUGUGUCACGGAAUUGCAAAGGAAAUGUCAGGAAGCGUCUAAACAUCACAGGUUGCAGCAGCUGGUUGGUUCAUAUGUGACCAUUAGCGUGACGUCAUUUGGGUAUAAAAUGGAUUGUGCCUGAUGUAAUGUGACGUGACAUACGAUGACUCAACGAUCUGGCAGGCGUGGCGCACACAACCUGAAGCUAACGACUGUCAACGCCAAGGGGCUGAAUAACCCAGGGCCGAGAGAUGGUCCACUGAG